ensembl:lncRNA
AGUUUUAAUGAAAUAAAUAUAGAAAAAACAAAUUGAAAAAAUCGUAAAUAAGUUAUUUGAUAUAACUUUUAUAGAGGAUCGUAAAAUAUUAAUUAAAAUUUUACAAACAAUAUUAUUAGCAUUUUCACCACAAUAUAUAGAACAUUAUAAUAAAGAUAUAAUUAAUACAUUAAUAAAAAUAUUAUAUUCUAUUUAUUAUUCAUCCUUAUAUAACAAUAAUCAUAUUUUGCAUCAAACAUGUUGUGCUGCCUUUAAACAGCUACUUAAUUCAUUGAUUGAUGUAUGUAAUAAAGAAUGUGAAAUUAAUUUUUAUGAAAAAAAUAUUAUUGCCUCAAAUGAUGCUUCUUUUGAACACAAUGAGAUAAAAAAAAAGAAAAAAAAAAAAAUAGACGACAAUGACAACGGAAACGAUUCCAACCACAAUGACAAAUAUGAACAUAAACGAGAUAGUAAAUCUACUGAUAAAAUAUAUAUAGAUAAAAUCAGUUUUUAUUUUGAAAAUUAUAAUUUAUAUUAUAAUGUAAACAGUCCAGUAGACCUAAUUUAUAUAAAUAAAUAUAUUAAUGAGAAUAAAAUGCAAAAUAAAAAUAAACUUUUGUCAUUAAUUCAUUAUUUUUGUUAUUGUUGUUUUGUGAAUAUUCGAUCAGAAUAUUUCUCAGAACAUAUGUGUACUUACGCAAAUAUAACUCCAAAUAUCGAAACUUCUCAAAACUUAAAAGAUUCUACAAAUCAUAUUAAUAGUUGUGGCAAUGGUAACACAGGCGGUAAUAGCAACAUGAAUAUGCAAACUCACGUGCAAACAAAAAGUAAUAACAAUUCAAAUGGUACUAUAGCAAUAAAAAAAAAUAGUAAGAAAGACGGUUAUUUUGAUCAAUCAAAAAACAACAAUGGGCAUAUAGACCCAAAUGUAAACACACCUACAAACACAACUACAAACACAACUACAAACACAACUACAAACAUAACUACAAACAUAACUACAAACAUAAGUCUGGAUAAACAGAAACUUCCUAUUUCAAAUACUUCUACCCUUAUAGAUGAAAAAAACAGAAAACAACAAUUUUUUAAAUAAGGUCAAGGAUAAUAACAUUGCUCAUUGCUCAUCAGUGGAUGAUAUAUCAAACCAUCGAAAUUGCCAACAAAAUAGC